CCACCGGUUCUAGGCUUGACAGCUCAAGAGCAAAUCCUCCUCGCUGCCUCCCUCCCGGGCAAGAGGCUGGGUUCUGGUGCAGCCAAGUCUUGGGCCUGGGCAAGCCGCUUUCUUCCUGGGACAGGAAGGUGGAGUGGGGAGACGGGCUCAGAAAGCUCCUUUCGCCUCUGAUUCAGUUGGGAAGCAGAAGGUUCAGAGUGCUCAGUUGAUCUGCUGUUUUAUAAUGAGCUGUGGGAGCUGCUGCACCAGAUCAGCCCAGCAGGGCUGUGGCUAUGGCAGAAAUAACAGGGCCUCCGGCAGGGAGUUAAUAGGACCUCGGUUUGGGGUAACAGGGUCUCAGGAUGGAGGAAACGGGGGCCUGGGACAGGCAUUCACAGUCCUGGUCCCAGCCUUAAUUAGUGGGGUAACUGCAAACCUGGUUGCAGCCCUUGGGGCUCCUACCCCACCCAUGAAGUGGAUUAACACCCGCUACCUGAGCAAGAAGCAAGAAGCUCUCAACUAAUGGCGAGAGGGAGAGGGGAAGGCCAGCACGGGCCUCCGGAGAGCAGUGGGUUUCUUUUUUCAGGGCAAUGGUACUUUAAUGGUGAUGAGCAGGUUGCCCACCGCUGAGUUCAGUGACCUCCACGCACCGAGCUGUGGCCCCAUGCUGGGCCCUUGCACACAGUCUUCCUUUAACGCUCAUGACACCCCCCCCCAUGACUCCAGGACCUUGCAGAGAGGGAAAACAGGCUGCUCAUCUGAGGUCACAUGGUAGGAGGGACAGGGCUGUGAUUUGCAUCCUGGCCCUCGGUCAUCACCGACGCUGACAGGGGCCAAGUCCAGUGGCCAGUGGGCAUGGAGCCCUCUAUGCAGGCCGAGCCCCACAAUGAAUGCCGGACACAGCAGUUCGCCAGAUCCCAACUCACCUUGUACAGCAGGCUCUGCUAUGGCCUCAUUUUACAGAGGAAACUAGGGCUGAGAGGGGAGGUCACUCACUGGGCUUCCAGACAGGUAAGGUGUCCAGCCAGGCCUCACACCCCCACCUGUCCAAGCUUGCAACAAGUGCCUUGAGUUUACUUGACCUGUGUUACACUGGAGUUACGGCACGUGGACACCUUGAAUAUCAGUAUGCCAGCGCACCUCAGUCUGGAUACAUGGGUAAUUCUUUCCGCCACCUGUUCACUGCUGGCCUAGAAAUGAGCAGGGGCUGUGAGAAGAGCCCCUCUCUUGUCUCUCACCUUCUAGGUGCUCCUAACAUGUAAAGUUAUUUGUUUCCAGCUGUUGAUGUAUCAUCUGUUCAUCCACCAAAGAUAUGGUGAACUUGACAAUGACAAGGGAAAAGGCGAGGUGCCCUCACUAAGAACUAGUAGAGAAAGAUGCUCUCAACGCAAGGGACAAGAGAACAGACAUAUCUGAAUAUAAAGAAGUGACCAGUGUAAACUUCCACCUCAGACUUGAUGAAAACAGUCAUGAAAACUUCCGGACAACUGAGUGCAGAGGCAAUGGUUCACCCGGAAGCCCUCUGGAAGGCCACAGGGAACUGGCCGCACUGACGUCCUUGAGGAGGGGAAAUGGGGCAGCGGGAGGAGGGAGACUCUCCCUUUCCCCACCCUGUUUUGUUGGCUUCUUCUCCUGCCAUCUCUGGUCCCUCGUCCCAUCCCAGCCCUGCGGGGACCCACUUGGACGUGCCAGAGGAAGUCCCAUGAAGGCAAAUGUGACCACAGCCCACAAACGUCACAGUAUGGCCCUGGUUCUCUGCCCACCAGGAUUCCCUACGCAAGUUUCAUGGCCCAGCUAGUGCCUUCCCUUCUGGGCCACUGGCCCCUCUGUUCCCCACAAGCACCGUAUCUCGGGGACACCUGCACAGCGGCUCUACACCAGCAAAGCUCUAUCCGGAGCUCAGCGCCCCAUGGAGGGGUUCCAGCACGUAAACCAGCGGUUCUCAAAGUGUAGUCCUGUCCACAAGGCCAAGCCACUCUCCGAAUAGCACUAAGCCAUUGUUUUCGCUUCUCGUACUCCUCCUCUGGUUAGAGGUGCAGGGGAGCUUUCCAGAGGCUCCGUGACACGUGUUGGUGUCACUCCUCUGGUGGUGAUGGGUUGUGCGCUUGUGUCCCUCGUGCUUUAAAAAUUUCCCGGUUUCCAUUUGUGUCAGUGGGUCCUGAAACUCAAUUUUGAGACAUCCUGAUGUAGAUUGUGCCUUUUACCAAAGGACGCACAGAGCUCUCUGGGUCACUGCUGCAUGGGUUCUGUCACCCAGGCAUGAACUCUGUUGCAUGAUCCCUGUCAUGUGUGCUCAUUCACACAUGCAUCACCGUGCAUCACGCCUGUGAUGAUGGCAACGUGCGGCCCGACAGCACCUCACAUAUAGCGCACACCGCUCGGGACUAUAUGUGUUGGCUGAGAACAGAGCAUCCAGCAAAUGGCAGCAUCCCUUCCACACGUGGCAGGGGGUGCCUCACAACCAGGUGGGGGCUACUGGUGGGUCCCCCAGCCUGCCCCUCCCUGGGCAUGUGGAGGCAGCCUUGCUUGAGGGGAGCCCUAACCAUACAAGCCACACAGUGCCAUCCCUGCAGGGCAGAAGCCUCCUCUCAGUCAUACACACCAUUUAUCUUCCUCGCUCACUGCCGAUCAACGCUGACUGUUGCUAUGUUUUUAAAAACUGAGACUGGGAUGAGGUGGAGUCCCCAUUUCUCACUAUUCCUAUUUUGGCUCUGGCUUAUUUGAAAUGUUGCGGGGGGGGUGGGGUCCUUGCCAGGGGUGCAGGGUACAGAUAAGCCCAAGUGACUGGUGGUGCUGUGCAGGGAGAGCAAAGCAGGCGACAGAGCCCAGAGCCGGAGGGCAGACGCACAGAAAAGGCAGAAGAGGCCCCGCCCCCACCCCUCAGGGCGCAGCCCACUCACCAAGGACAAUGAGCUCUGCAUAGGCCUCGUUGUUCCCCUGGAGGUCCUGGGCCGAGACCACCGAGCAGUAGUACACACCGCUGUCCCCCCAAGCCGUCUGGUCAAAGGUCAGGUCAGCAUCUGCAUCAGGAGGAGAUGGGUGAGGGCACCACGGGGCAGGGGGCGCCUGACCCCAGGCCGGGCCGGAGUCCUCCCACCUCGAGCCCAGCAGGAAGGGGGCUGCAGAUGGAGCGAGUGAGAAUUCAAUCACUCACACCGAGGGCGAGCUGCCUCCUGGACUCUGAUCUCAAAACUUUAUGGGUUAUUUCAAGAAGCCUGUGAGCUAUAAAAACAAAGCUCUUGGAGGACGUCCGUAAUGGAGUGGAGAGGAGGCCUAAGACCCGCACGUUUGAGAACCACUGCUGCAGACAGCAGCUGGAAAUCCCUGCCCUUGCAGAGCUCAGCUCCUACCUGGAAAAGACAGACAAAUAAAAAAUUUAAACAUAUCACGGAUCAGGGGGCGAUAAGCAGUAUGAAGGUCAGACAGGAAGAGCCUCCAGGGUGGAGGUGGGGGUUGUGCGAGUGUAAGUAAUCCAGGGAGGCCUCCAGGUAAGGUGACCUUCGGAGCAGACAGGGAGAAGUGGACACGACCUCUCCGCUACCCCCGCCAUGGUCACACGUCCAGCCCCCAGUCACUGAGCUAUGUGCUCAGUCCCUUUACCAGUAUUCUUUCACAGAAUCAUCAUAAAACUCUAAGCUACUUUCCCCAAUCCUCUGGAUUCUCCAUUACCCACUCUCAGCCCAUCCUCUUUUCCACUUAUAUCUUCAAAUCAGACUCCUGCACAUGCCAGAGCCCAGAGCUGAGGGUGGGCGAGGAGGCAGCCCCGUCACAGCACGGGCUCCUGUGGGCCGGAUCCCGGCCUCAAUGCGUUUUGUUUGGCC